UAUAAGUGUAACCAUAAGUUUCCAUAUCUAAUUUUGAAUAUCCGUCUUAUUUAAAUUUUUUUUAUAAUUAGUAUUUUUAUUGUUAAAACAUGACUAGUACAUUGCGCGUCACUUAUGUUUUUAAAUUUUUUUUCAAAAUUUUUUCAAAUAAGACGGACAAUUAAAGCUGGGCACGGAAAAUCAUGGGCACUUAAA
rfam:Oryza glumipatula chromosome 1, whole genome shotgun sequence.